rnacentral:lncRNA from 1 species
CUGCACAGCUGGUCACAUCUGUGUUGUGUGUGUGUGUGUUGUGUGUGUUUUAGGUAUGACAGUAAACUCCAGUCUGCUGGCUGCAGUCCUGACGGUGGUGUCAGUGAUGUCACUGAGUCUGCUGUCCAUACUGUGUCUGCGAUGCAAAAAGAAAUCCACCAACGAGGUGGAAGCAAGUUUGAAGUGACGCGAUCAAAAACAGGUGAAAUAAACCCAGAGUUGAUCAUGUGUGACCAUCACUCCCUUUAUAUUUGCACAUUUAAUUAACUUCAGGCUUUUUUUUUCAGU